rnacentral:rRNA from 1 species
CCUACGGGAGGCAGCAGUGGGGAAUUUUGGACAAUGGGCGAAAGCCUGAUCCAGCAAUGCCGCGUGAGUGAAGAAGGCCUUCGGGUUGUAAAGCUCUUUUGUCAGGGAAGAAACGGUGAGAGCUAAUAUCUCUUGCUAAUGACGGUACCUGAAGAAUAAGCACCGGCUAACUACGUGCCAGCAGCCGCGGUAAUACGUAGGGUGCAAGCGUUAAUCGGAAUUACUGGGCGUAAAGCGUGCGCAGGCGGUUUUGUAAGUCUGAUGUGAAAUCCCCGGGCUCAACCUGGGAAUUGCAUUGGAGACUGCAAGGCUAGAAUCUGGCAGAGGGGGGUAGAAUUCCACGUGUAGCAGUGAAAUGCGUAGAUAUGUGGAGGAACACCGAUGGCGAAGGCAGCCCCCUGGGUCAAGAUUGACGCUCAUGCACGAAAGCGUGGGGAGCAAACAGGAUUAGAUACCCUGGUAGUCCACGCCCUAAACGAUGUCUACUAGUUGUCGGGUCUUAAAUUGACUUGGUAACGCAGCUAAACGCGUGAAAGUAGACCGCCGUGGGUAGGUACGGUUCGGCGAAGAAGUUAAAACGUUAAAAGUUAAGUUAGUUAGUACGGCGUUGAGACGUUGCCGACGGACGACGACGAGGGGAGGUUAGGAGG